GUUCUCGUAGUUGAAUUUACAACGGUGGUUUUUCAUAUCAUUGGUCAUGGUUUAGUCCCAUGUGGGAACU
rnacentral:tRNA from 2 species